rnacentral:lncRNA from 1 species
UUUUUUUUUUUUUUUGUCUUUUUUUUUUUUUGCUAUUUCUUGGGCCGCUCCCGUGGCAUAUGGAGAUUCCCAGGCUAGGGGUCUAAUCGGAGCCGUAGCCACCAGCCUACGCCAGAGCCACAGCAACUCGGGAUCCAAGCUGCGUCUGCAACCUACACCACAGCUCACGGCAACGCCGGAUUGUUAACCCACUGAGCAAGGGCAGGGACCGAACCCGCAACCUCAUGGUUCCUAGUCAAAUUCGUUAACCACUGCGCCACGACGGGAACUCCUGUACUCCUGGAUUUGAUAUGCUAAAAUUUUUUUUUGAACUUGUGCAUCUAUGCUCAUUAGACAUAUUGGUCUGUAGUUACAUUUUCUUGAAAUUCUUUGGCUUGCUCUCAGAGAAUGGUUUGUGUCCUUCAAGGAAUUUGUCUAUGUAUUCUAAGUUGUCAACUUUAAUUUGGAUUGUCAUUCACAGUAUUCACUCAACAUCUCUUUUUUGUAUUUGUAGAAAAUGUAAUUAUACUACUAAUGGGUUUUAAAUACCUAUAUUUUUUCAUUUUAGUGGAUACAAUAAUAGUCUGUCCUUUCUGAGGCAAGGACAGACUAUUAUUACUUACAGCAAUACCUACAUUGAUUUCCUUAGUAGUUUUCCAUUCUUGGAAGAAGAGAGUCAGAAAUCACCUAGUAUAUACCAGGGUCUGAACUAUAGGUGAGGAACUGCAAAAAUUUGAAUUGAAAAACCUAUGUAAAUGUUGAACUCUCUUCUUGUAAACAGUUUCUCCUUAGGAGGAGAGGGGAGGAAAACAUAUAAAUGUUUGUAGCCUUUUGCUUGAACUACAAUAAUAGCAGUUUUUUAUAAUUAAUUUAUUGUAUGUUAUCUGCGUAUAUGCCUUUUCUAUCUCACUAGCUCAUCAACUUUUAGAGAGAAGGCAAAGCUUAUAAGUGCAUAUCUUACUGUCCUAUAUAUAGUGUAUUUAAAGUAAGUAUUUAAUUGAAUAAUGGUAUGAUCUUGCCUUCUUGGGAGCUCUUCAAGCAAGCGUUAUCUGAACUAUUUUGGUUUAUAUAUACUGAGCUUUCCAACCAGCUAGAUUAUAACCUGCUUGAGGGUAGAGGCAUGACUUAAAUUCUUUGUUCUUUUUACAAUUCGAUAAAUUUUUUGUAUACUUUUUUGUUUUUGAAACAAAGGUGUUCAUUGAUAGUGUUAACAUAAGAGGAGGGCCUAGUGAUGAAAAAUAGUGUGAUGUGUGUUAUAAAAUGUGAUGCUUUCAUUAAGCCCUCCGUCUUUGGAAAGGUAUAAAACACAGCCCAUCACCAGAAAGAAAAUAAUGUUACUCUUAGACAGUUGCACAGUUUCUAGAAGAUGCAAUAAUUUAUUUUUUAUGAUUCUCAUCAAGUUGCUUUUUAGCUAAUAUGAAAAUCUGUCUCAGAUGGGAAUAUGAUCUCUCUUUGGCUAUUCUCAUUUUUUCCUUUUUGCCUUUUAUUUUCUGAAUUCUGGAAACUGUUCAAGUUCUGAGCUUUGUCGUAGAUUCCAUCUAGAAAGAGGUGGUGGGGGAAUCUCUCAAUAUUCAUAGAAAAAUGUGUUAUGUCUUCUGUGUAUAUCUAAGUGGAACAUCUCUACAUACAACAUGCUUUUCCUUUACUGAUAGUAACCAUUAUUCAGAGCAUAAGAGGUUCCUGUGUAAAAAAGAAAGCUGUUGUCUCUACUCUGCUUUCCCUGUUAGAGGUUGGGAGUGAGAGAGAAAGAAAAGAGCUGAGGAGAAAGGAAAAUUCAGGCCGUCCAUAUGAAACAUGGGUGAACUCAAAUUUGAGUUUGAAUUUACCAAUUUCAACAGGAUUUUAACAACCAGUUUCUUUUUCUAAAAUUAAAGAAAUGCAUCAAAUCCUGUCCUAUCGCCUCUGAGGAUUAGUGGGCCUGACUGAAUCUAUUUGCUCCAGAGGCAGAAUAGGACUCGAAGGGAUCUUGGAGAACUUUAAUCCAGAACCUCUCUUUUUGCAGUUCUCUAAUCUCUACUCUUUUUAGAACAGCCUAAAAUUCCAUUGUAUCUUAUAGUCCAGCUUCUGUCAAUUUGUCAGUGCCUCAGAAAAUGAAGUGUUCUUUCUUGGCGACCUCAUGGAAAGUCACUUUCACAUUAAUUUCUUUCUUUGCUUUGAAUUCAUCUUUAAAUCAACACAGUUUAAAAUGAAAUUGCUGUUUAAAAGCAAGUUUUUUGAUUUUAGUGGAUAUUUGGAACUUUGGGAUAAAACGUAUUUUUCUUCACAGCAAAUAUUCUACACCAUUCACAACUUUAAAAAUAAAUCCCAAAUCUAUAAAACUUAAUAAAAUCCUCAUGAAAAGUAUUGUAAGGAGGCCUCAAUAGCUGUUGAGAUGGAAAAGAAGUAUUUUUGAGUGUGUGAUAUGCGGGGAAGGAGAGAUUAGCUAACCAGAAAUGUAACUACAGAAAGCAUUACUCCACACAUACAGGCCAGUGGCUGAAAUUCACUC